rnacentral:rRNA from 1 species
AUUGAACGCUGGCGGCAUGCCUUACACAUGCAAGUCGAACGGUAACGGGCCUUCGGGUGCCGACGAGUGGCGAACGGGUGAGUAAUACAUCGGAACGUGCCCGAUCGUGGGGGAUAACGAGGCGAAAGCUUUGCUAAUACCGCAUACGAUCUACGGAUGAAAGCAGGGGACCGCAAGGCCUUGCGCGGACGGAGCGGCCGAUGGCAGAUUAGGUAGUUGGUGGGAUAAAAGCUUACCAAGCCGACGAUCUGUAGCUGGUCUGAGAGGAUGAUCAGCCACACUGGGACUGAGACACGGCCCAGACUCCUACGGGAGGCAGCAGUGGGGAAUUUUGGACAAUGGGCGCAAGCCUGAUCCAGCCAUGCCGCGUGCAGGAUGAAGGCCUUCGGGUUGUAAACUGCUUUUGUACGGAACGAAAAGCCUUCUUUUAAUACAGGAGGGUCAUGACGGUACCGUAAGAAUAAGCACCGGCCAACUACGUG